rnacentral:lncRNA from 1 species
GUGGGGUUGUCUAUCUCAGUGUGGCUGAGUCUAGGGGGUUUUAUAGGCACAGGAUUGGGGAGGGGCGGGCUGUAGGUAGUAUUAGAAAAGGCAACAUUUGAUUGGUUAAAAAGCAUUAUUCAGAAAGAACCAAUCAGGAAAGGGUGGGCAAACAGGAACAGAAGUUCUCACCCUGGUUUGAGGGGUUUCAUCCCAAACCAGCAGUCCAGGCUGUUUUUGGCUUGAAGGUGGGGUUUCACUGGGGACCCACCCCCAUCUGCCUAGGAAAUUGUCUGCCUCCUGCCGCUUUCAAUUGUUUUACUCUACAUUGUUUUCUGAUGACUAAUGAUUUUGAGAACCUCUUCAUAUGCUUGUUACCAUUUGGGGGUUACUAUUUGUGAAUUGCUUUUUAAUAUCCUUUGCCAAUUUUUGAGAAUUUUUAGUGCUCUCUUUUUUUAGUUGGUUUGUGGGUGUUUAUAUAAAAUCUAGACAUUAAUUGCUUGUCAGUUUUGAUAUUGCAAAUAUCUCCUCUCAUUCUGCCAUCUGUAUACUGACUUCUUGCAUGAGAUCCAUGAUGUCUGUGGGCAGAAAUCUUAUAUUUUGGUGUAAUAAGAUUUAUCUUUUUUCCCUCUGCCUUAUAAUUUUGUGCAUUUGAAAAUUUAUUUGAUAAGUCCUCUCCCCACCCUGCUACAAAAAUAUACUCCCUUUUCUUUUGUUAACUUUAUAGUUAGAUAGAUUUAAGACCUAAAUGUGAAAGGUCCCUUUUGGUAUGUAGUGUUAGGCAGGAUGUUAGUCUCCAAAGAUAGCCCCCAAUGAACCAUGACUCCCAAUAUUCACACCCUGCAUAGUUCUCACCCAUGUUGAAUCUGGGAUGGCCCAGUAUGACCAGUCAAAUAUGGCAGAAAUGUCACCAUGUGACUUUGUUUUGAUACAGUGUCUUGCUCUGUCGCCCAGGCUGGAGUGCAGUGGUGCAAUCAUAGCUCAUUGCAGCCUUGACCUCCUGGGCUCAAGUGAUCCUCCUGCCUCAGCUCCCCCAGGUAGUCACCAUGCCUGGAUAAUGUUUUAAAUUUUUUACAGAGACAGGACAUUUCUAUGUUGCCAGGCUGGUCUCAAAUUCUUGGGCUCAAAUGUUGGGCCUUGGCCUCCCAAGUGUGGGAUUCCAGGUGUGAGCCACCACAUCCAGCUAUAACUUCUAAGACUAAGCCAAAGAAACUCUGGGAACUGUUAAUCAUUCUCCAGCCACGUGAGUGAGACUCUUGGAUGCUCAGACCUGCCAAACCUUCAGAUGACUUCAGCCCCAGGAGACAUCUGACUUCAAUCCCACGUGAGGCCCCAAGUGAGACCAGUCAACCCGUGGAAGCAUGAGAAAUCAUAAUUUUUGUUUUAAGCCACUCAGCAUGAUGAUUUGUUCUGCAGCAAUAGGAACAAAUGGCAGGAACAAAAUUUGGUGCCUGAAAGUGGAAUGUUGCUAUAAAAGCAACCUAAAAUGUGUAGCGUUAGGUUGAGAAUGGGUGGUGAGAGACGGUGGAAGGAAAGACUUAAGGACAGCAAGAAGUAUUCACCUUCCAUCCAGGAGGCAGAAAGCCUUGCUAUCAUACUUAACAAUGAGAAAAGACUGCAUGCACUACAAAGUCAUCACUUUUCUUGAGCUCACCAGGGAGGUCAGCUGCCUCUGGGGCAGAGUGGGAAGCUCUCCCAUGAAGGACCUGCCCCGGAUAUAAGGCAGGGUCCACUGCACUGAAGCGGAUGGGUGGGAAGGCUGAGAAAGCUCCACAGCCCCGGGCAGCAGAGAGCCUACACUUACCUCCUCACCACAAACCUGGUAGUGGGCAGCCAGCCUGGUAGUCACCACCGGGAGAAGGGCAAGAGUAUGGAAAAUAUGAAGAAAGACACCUCCUUCCUGUGGGGCCACUGGGGAUAUGGCAAUUACUAUCACAAUGAGAGACCGCUGUACACCUCCAGAAUGACUGGAUAAAAGGCCACCUGACCCUACCAUGUGCUGAUGAGGAGGUGGCAUCGCUGGAACUCUCAUGCUUUGUUGGUGGACAUGAAAAAUGCUUCAGCCACUUUUUUUUUUUUUUUUAGUGCAGUUAAAUUUUACAUAUAUUUUGUGGUUAUUUGACUAGUGUCUGCUGUGUUAGCUUCUUAGGGCUGCCACAACAAAUUAUCACAAACUUGGUGGCUUAUUCUCUCACCAUCCUGGAGGCCAGAAGUCUGAAUGGAGGCGUCAGCAGGGCCAUGCUUCUCCCAAGGGCUCUAGGGAAAAGUCCUUCCUCACCUCUUCCAGCUGCCGGUAGCUCCUGGAGUUCCUUGGCUUGUGGCAGCAUCACUCCUAUCUCUGCCUCUGUCUUCACAUGGCCUCCUUCUCUGUGUCUCUACAUCUUUUUCUUCCAUGUCCAGAACCCAGGAGCACAUUCUUCACUGAAAUCAUUCUCUGCUGCAGCUUUUGGAAUCCGGUCACUCUUGAAAACACCAAAGGCCACUGGAGCCUACAGCUGCCCAUCAUGUCAAGAUCUGCUGGUAUCACGGUAGCACUCAGCAGUGGCAGCCCAUUGCUUCAGCUCCUGGAAGAACAAAAGGCCAUCUGCUGAGUCAGAGGUCCCACCAGAAGCCAAGUCAGCCACUUCUGAAAACCAUUUGGCAAUUUCAAUUUCUUAUGAAGUAGAACAGACACUUACCUAUGUAUCAGCAACCCCACUCCAAGAGAAAUGAAGACACGUCCACACAAAAGCCUGUGUGCUAAUGUUCAUGUUUGUGGCAGCUGUGCUUGAAAACAAUCCAGAUGUCCAUCAACAGGUGAAUGAAUACACAAUGUCGUAUGUCCAUAAACCGGAAUACUAAUCAGCAAUAUAAAGAAAUGAACUACUGACACCUUUGACUACAUGGGUGGAUAUCAAAAGCAUUAUGCUGGGAGUAACAGCACAGAAGACUAUGUGCUAUAUUAUUCUUUUUCUUUUUUGGUGGGGCGGGAGGGGGGAACAGAGUUUCUCUCUUGUUGCCCAGGCUGGAGUGCAAUGGCAUGAUCUCAGCUCACUGCAACCUCCCCAUCCUGGGUUCAAGUGAUUCUCCUGCCUCAGCCUCCUGAGUAGCUGGGAUUACAGGCAUGCGCCACCACGCCUGGCUAAUUUUUGUAUUUUUAGUAGAGACGGGGUUUUGCCAAGUUGGCCAGGCUGGUCUUAAGCUACUGACCUCAGGUGAUCCACCCACCUCGGCCUCCCAAAGUGCUGAGAUUACAGGCGCGAGCCACUGUGCCUGGCCUAUAUUAUUCUUUUUAUACGACAUUCUGAAAACCACAAAACUAGGUAUAGGGAGAGAAGAGAUUAGUGAUUGCAAGGGGCAGGAAGGGGUGGGGGGGAAGGAGUUGACUACAGAGGGGCACAAGGGAAAUUAAAACAUUCUGUGUAUCUUGAUUGUAGCGUGAUCACAUGACUAGAUGCCUUUGUCAAAAAGAUGCAUAUGUAAAUUAUAUCUCAAUAAACCUGACUUAAAAAACAAAGCCAAUCUACCAUGUUAAGUCUGCAGAUAAUUAUUACCACUGGGGAGUUAGUGCUAGAAAGAGACUAUGAAUGGGUUUCUGGUAGUACCCUGUGUCUUCAUCUGGCAAAGUUGGUCUUUGGGUGUAUACGUCUGUCAGUCUGCAAAAAUUCUUCAAGCUGAAUCCCUAUGAAUUAUGUACUGUUAUAUAUGUAAUAUUUCAAUAAAAAGUUUUUUAAAAGAC